GUGCUCACUUGGACAGUGUGCAUACUAAAACUGGAACAAUACAGAGAAGAUGAUUAGCAUGGUCCAUGGGCAUGGAUGACAUGCAAAUCUGUAAAGUGUUCCUUAUUUUU
ensembl:snRNA U6 U6 spliceosomal RNA